UCAACAUAUAGUGUUAGAACUCUAAGGAAAAUUAAGCAACUUGAAUCAGUAGUAGAGAAGCAAACAUCGCCACUAAUUUAAUUAAGCUUAUAACAAGUUUACAUUUUUCUAGCACAGAGUUUAGAUUUUAUUAAAUAAAAUAAAAUCCAUCUAAUAAUAAUGUGUUAAGACAACCUUAGCUCAACCUCAUGAACUCGACACAGAAAGCCCCACAUGCCCAAUUCCAGACCCGUAUCAAUCAGAAACCGAAUAUGCCAAUCUCCC
rnacentral:lncRNA from 1 species